CUUCUUAUUAAUUUCUCUCCCCCUCACACUUUACCCCCUACACACACGCUACACACCAACCACAUUACACUGGCAACCUCCACACGGACAAAACAUCACGCACAUACGGCUUCCCAACAAACAUACACCACACAGCCACAGGCCGGAACGGCAACGCACACAACACCACAUACCCGCACUAGGCUCGACACACGCAAUAAAGAACAU